CCCAUUACGUAAAAACCUCUGCCAGGCACUUCCAUAUUGAUCCAUUCACUUAUAGUACUGGAAACCCCCUCUUUGUGUCUACUACAGAUUGCACUCAGCACAAAUGACACUUCCUAGUCCAGGCAAAUGGUGCAAACCAGCUUUGCUGCUCAGUUUGCAAUAAACUAGCCUGGUUCAAGAUGCUGGAAGAGAAUUUUAUGAAACCUCUGUCGUUGAAAGAGCUCUUGUUCCUUUUUUGGUGUGAAAGAGCAUUUUCUGCUGGAUUUGCUGUGCUUAGGCAGAGCGUGAGAUUUAAACCUCAGAGCGCCAGAGAAGGAACAUGAUUGUUGUGCUCGUAUGAAAGGGACCGCAAAAGCUCAUGUGAACCCCAGACUUGUGCGUGGAAUUUCUGAUCUCUGUCAGAGCAGGAAGGACCAAGAGCGUGAGACCACGGUUUCUCCAAGGAUUGAUAGACGUGGAAAGUUCUCUACCAGGGAAAACUCGAUCCUAGUGUACAUGAGCAAGGGCUGCUCUGAGAGCGUUAGCACUGGCCACCUGGACCCUGUUUAGUAGCCUGUAUGCACGGAGCUGCACGAGCUGGUGCAGAAGUGCCUGGAGCCCACCGCACUGGCCAUCGAACCUCUUGUGUGGACCAUGGUGGGUGAGGGCUGCCAGGCUGAAAGGCUUGUAGAGGCAGAACGAUUGAGGAAAACCUGGACACACCGGAAGUUUGGUUUGUGCCGUGUUUGACCAUGCAGGCUAAGGGCUUGUUCUCCGGGCUGCUGAUCCCCAGGCUUUGCAACAGCAUUUUAAGUCAUAUGCUGUCUCAAAAACCUGAUGCAUUAAAAAAGCAAGGAAAAACAGGGGAAUCCAGUUAUACCCACUGAGAAAGUGUCUCCAAGGAGCACGUCUGCAGCGCAGGGCGGAGGAGUUGUGGGGUGGAAGCGGUCAGGCUGGGAAUGCUUUGCGGGAGCCCCCUUCUUUGGGGUUUUCCCACCUUGGUUGGCCUCCGGGCCAGCGCUGCCAGGCCCAUCUCCACGGACUGCUGCAUUGCCUCUCGUGGUUAUAAGUUUAAGUUUAAAAUAUGUUUUGAUAGGUAAAGGGGGAAAAAUCUGAGGGUAAAAUAAGCUUGUACCAGUUCGCCCACACUUCACUUGCAGCCCAGAACUAGAGAAGUAAUUGUGAGAAAACCUCGCAGUUGGCAUGACUAUAUUUGCAGCUCUGGUGUUUGGAAAGUCCCUCCCACAGUCAAAAGGCCAUGUUCUCUCCUGGCAUAAACCUGUA
rnacentral:lncRNA from 1 species